rnacentral:rRNA from 1 species
GAUGAACGCUGGCGGCGUGCCUAAUACAUGCAAGUCGAGCGAACAGACGAGGAGCUUGUUCCUCUGACGUUAGCGGCGGACGGGUGAGUAACACGUGGAUAACCUCCCUAUAAGACUGGGAUCACUUCGGGAAACCGGCUCUAAUACCGUAUAAUAUAUUGAACCGCAUGGUUCAAUAGUGAAAUACGGUUUUGCUGUCUCUUAUAGAUGGAUCCGCGCCGCAUUAGCUAGUUGGUAAGGUAACGGCUUACCAAGGCAACGAGUCGUAGCCGACCUGAGAGAGGGAUCGGCGACACGGGAACGGAAACACGGUCCAGGCUCCUACGGGAGGCAGCAGUAGGGAAUCGUCCGCAAUGGGCGAAAGCCUGACGGAGCAACGCCGCGUGAGUGAUGAAGGUCUUCGGAGCGUAAAACUCUGUUACUAGUGAAGAACAAAUGUGUAAGUAACUAUGCACGUCUUGACGGUACCUAGUAAGAAAGCCACGGCUAACUACGUG